rnacentral:rRNA from 1 species
GGGGGAAUUUUGGACAAUGGGCGCAAGCCUGAUCCAGCAAUGCCGCGUGAGUGAAGAAGGCCUUCGGGUUGUAAAGCUCUUUUGUCAGGGAAGAAACGGUGAGGGCUAAUAUCCUUUGCUAAUGACGGUACCUGAAGAAUAAGCACCGGCUAACUACGUGCCAGCAGCCGCGGUAAUACGUAGGGUGCAAGCGUUAAUCGGAAUUACUGGGCGUAAAGCGUGCGCAGGCGGUUUUGUAAGCCGGAUGUGAAAUCCCCGGGCUCAACCUGGGAAUGGCAUUCGGGACUGCAAGGCUGGAGUGCGGCAGAGGAGACUGGAAUUCCUGGUGUAGCAGUGAAAUGCGUAGAUAUCAGGAGGAACGCCGAUGGCGAAGGCAGGUCUCUGGGCUGACACUGACGCUCAUGCACGAAAGCGUGGGGAGCAAAC